GACGAACGCUGGCGGCGUGCUUAACACAUGCAAGUCGAGCGGUAAGGCCCUUCGGGGUACACGAGCGGCGAACGGGUGAGUAACACGUGGGUGACCUGCCUCUAGCUCUGGGAUAAGCCUGGGAAACUGGGUCUAAUACCGGAUAUGACUCCACGGCGCAUGUUGUGGGGUGGAAAGCCUUGUGUGGCUAGAGAUGGGCCCGCGGCCUAUCAGCUUGUUGGUGGGGGAUGGCCUACCAAGGCGACGACGGGUAGCCGGCCUGAGAGGGCGACCGGCCACACUGGGACUGAGACACGGCCCAGACUCCUACGGGAGGCAGCAGUGGGGAAUCUUGCGCAAUGGGCGAAAGCCUGACGCAGCGACGCCGCGUGAGGGAUGACGGCCUGG
rnacentral:rRNA from 1 species